GUCUCAUCAGACAUCGUUUGUCCGACGAAAUAGAUACAAGAAGACGCCAUGUGCUCUAAGGUCCUAAUCGUAUCCUUCUGCCUUGUGGCUUUGGCCAUCGGGACGCCCUGAUGGUUCCCAUGCUCCUGCAGGAUACGGCUACGAAGCCCCUAGACAUCAGCCGAGUUACGAGGAUGGGAGGCCAUUCGACUACUCCUACGUCGUCAAGGACGCCUACCAAAACCUCGACUUCGGUCACAAGUCCACCUCCGACGGGAAGGUGGUGACCGGCGACUACCACGUCCUCCUCCCCGACGGUCGCAAUCAGACCGUCGUUUACACCGCCGAUGGCUACAACGGCUAUCAGGCGCAGGUGGCUUACCACGGAGAAGCCAAGUACCCUGAAGCCAAGCCCUAUGCCCCUGCCCCAUCCUACGGCGCCCCUAGACCCACUUACCAAGCACCUACCCCAGUCUAUGGAACCCCAGCUCCAACUUACGAGGAGCCCAAAGCUUUCUACAGCGCUCCCGAGUACUGAAGUAUAUCGAAUAUCUAAUUAGUUCC